AAAUUUCUACUAUCAUAGUUGAUGUCCUGAUUACUUGUUCUUGUUGAGAAUAAAUACUGCUGGUAACGAUUUUAUGGUCAUCAACAUCAGAGGAAGCGGUGUGAAUGAGUAUUCUGCUCUUGCUUGAUCCUUUAUCUCCUGAAUUUCUUUUGGGCGAAUUCCUACCUGAAUUUUUUUUCCCUUUCCCGAGCUUGUGUUUGUUGUUGCCUAGAAUUUAUGCGACUCUGCAUUAUUGCUGCCAAAAUGAGUCAAAAAUUUGUGCUGUUUCUUCCAGUAGUUCAUGAAUACAUUGAUAGUUACUGUGUGAAGUUCUUCAUCAGCCUAUUCAACUUGUUCAUUAAGAGUUUAAUUUGAUGAAACCAGGUGAAAAAUGUGAGGGCUUUCAUCCUUCAUUUUCUUUAUGUUCUGAUGGAAAAACCAAUCUUGGAUCUUCAUUGAUGCUUUAUAUGGAUAAUUCAGUUCUAUUUUUCUUUUGGUUAUGGUUAGUAAGGUGACCUUAAAUGUGGUAAAGGUAAGAGGGAGGAUGCUCAAAGGAUGGAAAGUUUUCCCUUUAAAAGAUAAGCAAAUGAAUAUAUCUAUAUCUUGCAUGUGCAGUGCCAUAACAUUGUCUCAGCUUCAUACCUUCUGGUAUUCCAACCCAGUUUUCGUGGUAAUUUUAAAUUACCUGCACUGCACUCUACUUUCCAAUUUCCAUAUGUGUUGCCUUUUGUUCACCAUCAUCUUGCUUUAUCACAACCUCAUAGCAGGUUUAUAUUGAAUUUUUAUGCUUCAUUUAAGUGAUACUCACUGUUUUUCGAGCAUUACAUCUUUCAAGAAGGAUCAUACAAGUCUUUCCUAGCAUGUCGUUUUUAGGAUAGGAAAAUUACAUUAAAGUGUUCUGUUAUUUUUCUGGUUAGGCUAAUAGAGUCCUCUCUCUGUCAUUGUAGCUGAAGAACAUUGGAGGCUGUAUUAAAUAUCUUAACUUCCAUUCUUCCAUGCAUAUGAAUUACAUUGUGUAUCUCAAAUCAUUAUGUCAUAUUUUUGUUUGGGUUUUUACUUCUUUGAUUAUCUGAUACGAGUCACAAAAACCCAAAUUUUUGAAGGCGAGGCCCAAUAAGCAAAUUCCCAGCCCAAUCAAGAAAUCCAUCCAUACUUAGUUGAAAAUCAGGCUAAAUUGUCAAAGUGGCCCAAGUUGUAAGGUUUUAUUUUUAUUUUUAUUUAUUUAUUUAUUUAUUUACUUAGUUUAAAUUUUUAUGUCAAUAUUCAGUCCAAGAGUCCCAGAUAAAAUGACCUUUGACCGAAUUUCCAUAUUAAAAUAAUUAGGAGUUUUUUUUAUUUUAGUUUUCUAAUUAGAUUAGGACUAGUUAUAAGGCUUAUUUAAAGGCAUGGCUGUCCACCUUGUAAAACACUUAUCAUUAUUAUUAAAAUUUCAGAUUUGUUGAGAGCAGAAUUUUCUUUGAGUUUUCUCCAAGAUUUCUCUCUUGAGUUUUCUUUAGAAGUUGUUUUAACAAUCUUGUGAUUGUGGGAGCCAUCUUCAACCUUCUUCUUGCCAUUGAUAUUCUUUGGAGGGGAGAUUAGAGCCGUUUGAAGGGAGUUGUGAGAUCUUUCGAGAUUUCAAGGCUUCUUAGGACUUAUCUUUUAAUUUCUUACUGUCAAUUCUUUCUUUAUUUCUACUUGUGCUGAAUCAUUAUCUAAUCUAUUUUCUGUUCUUAUUGUGUUUUCAGCCUUUUUCUAUCUUAAGGAAUCAGCCCAAAAAUCCCUAAUUUUUAGGGUUUUUCCAUACUCUUUUUGGGUGAAAUUAGAUUGUCGAAAUUUGGGGAAAACUAUCUUGGUGUUCAAUUGGGCAGAAUCACAAUCUCCUUGAGGGUUUCAAGAACCCUAACACUUAUUUCUAUUCUCAAUUUGAUUCUUUGCUGAUUUGGGGAUUUUAUUUCAAAUCUGAAAAUUCAAAAAUCUAAUCUUUUAAUUUUCUGUUUCGUUUCAGAUCUAAUUGUUUAGGGUUUUCGUAGGAGUUUCCCGUGACUUGGCAACUCGAUCUUGGUCCGCGCGCAACCCCGUAUCAUUUGGUAUCAGAUUUUGGGCGUUUUGGGUGUUCUUGGUUGAUUUCUAAACUGAUCUCUAUUUUUUAAAGCAUAAACAGCAGUUUUACCCAGAAAAAUUGUUCAAAAAAAUUCAUUUGAGUGGGUAAACGUUGUCCGAUUGAUCUGAAAUUUUACAUACAUGUGUUUGGCACUGUGAUUGAAUACAAAAAAAUUAUUCCCGCAAAAAAAUCAGUCAAAAAGUCAAAAAAAUCGAAAAAAAGACGAAAUCCAAUAAAAAUUUUAAAAAAAUUCAGCGGGUUGAGUUUGGUGCCCAAACUUUCCAGAUCAAAAAUUAAAUAUUUAAGGACAUUCGAGAUUUAAUUUUGUGAUUUUUUGAGAUCAGGAACACCUCGAACGAAGUUGUCAAGUUACUCUACAGUUUUUCGGGUUUUCUGUUUUCAGCAAUUUUUAUUGAUUCUUAGCUGUAGGUUUUCAUUUGUUUGCUUUUUAUUAUUCUUUUAAAAUAUCUAACACCUUCUUGUUUCUUGUGUUAGUAGGAUUUAAACGUGUGCACAAUCCUUCCUCGGUGCAACACGAAUCACUUGGUGUCUCGUCAGUUUUUGGCAUCCUAGUGCAAAUUAGGAUUCUUUGGUAGUUUGGUUCACACUCUCUAAUUGGUUGAUAUAAACUCUAAUAAAGAACUCACAAGAUUGAAUUCGAUCUCAUUGAGAAUUUGAUUUUUCUUUUUGAGUGAUUAAUGGUGAGUUUGCUAACUUUUAUUUUUGAGUGUUGAGUAUUUAUUUUUUACAGGUUUUAAAGAUGUCUAAAGGUGAUAAUAAUGAUGCACUUAUGAAAGUCCAACAACAGUUAGACAGACAUACUGCUGUAAUCACACAAAUAAAUGCUACACCUCAAGCAUUGAAUACUACUUUGAAUGAGGUACGAGUGAAUCAAAAACAUCAAUAUCGAGAUCCAAUUAAGGAAGAUAGGGAUAACCAGCCCCAUAGGUGCAACCCUCAACGUGUCCCUAGAAUGGAUGAUGAUUGUCAUGAUCAUGGACAAUCAUCUUUGGCAAAACCAAAGAGCGAGCAGCAACGAGAACAUCUCUUUCAUACUCGCUGCCACGUACAAUGUAAGCUUUGUAGAGUUAUUAUUGAUGGUGAAAGUUGCUCGAACAUAGCCAGCACGACGAUGGUGGAAAAGCUUUGCUUAACCACUACCAAGCAUUCACAACCUUAUCAACUACAAGGGCUUAGCAACGAAGGCCAAUUUAGGGUCACUCAACAAGUGCGCAUCGCCUUUUCUAUCGGUAAGUAUCAAGACGAAGUUGUGUGCGACGUAAUGCCUAUUCAAGCCUGCCAUUUGUUGCUAGGAGAACCGUGGCAACUAGAUCGAAAAGUCACUCACGAUGGUCGUACCAAUAGGUAUUCUUUCAAGCAUCAAGGAAAGAAACUCACCUUAGUGCCGCUCACUCUAGAACAAGUCCAUGAGGACCAAAUCAAACUGAAAAAUUCUGUUAAAACAAGUGAGGAAAAAGAAAAAGAGAAUGAAAAAGAGCAAAAAGAGAUUGAGAGUGAAAAAGAAAUUGAAGAAAGAAGAGAAAAUGAAUUAGAAAAAGAAACAAAAGAAAAAGACGUGGAAAGGGUAGUGAGGAAUCUUUCCACUAACCAAGAUAUGAAUUUUUCUUGUGUUGCUACUUUUCAGGUUCCCGAAAGAUCGAAAGAUAACUUUCAACUUCAAUACCUCUCAAAUGAAAGACGCUUUCAUACGAUCAACUUAAGCAAAGAUGAAAUCACACUACAUGAUCCCGAAGGUAAGCGAGGUAAGGAAAUUUUAGAAACCGAGUCCAGUGCAGAUUUGAAAAUUAUUGAUAAAACUUUUGGUGACUUAGUUUUUAAAAGAUCCCCUCAUUUUGAUCCGAUUAAUUGUUACUCUUCGAUUGUGGUUGAUAAAGUCAUUACGAAAAGAAGCGUGAUUUGUUAUUCUCUUGAUUUACCUUGUGUAAAAUUCUCGAAUUUGUCCAAAUCUGUUUUGGAGAAUAAGGUAACGAAAUUUUCCAAAUUUGUUUUCAAUUUAUAUUCGUGCCUUAAACAAUUUAUGUGGUUGUACAUGAAGUUUGAGUUCCAUUUGACAAAGGUUAACUCAACAACGGAGAUUCGACUACACUAUGCUCCCGAUGAGCGAAGGUUUGUUUUAAAUGAAAAAGGUAAAAUCGACCCUUAUUCUUCUGCUUAUCGAGGUAAGAUGCUUGAAACCUUUGAAACACUUUUGUACUCCUCGGAUAGUGAUAAAGAUCGUGUUGAUGAACACUUAGAUCGAAACGUGCUUGACUGUCCUAUUUUAUUUAUUGAUGAUCUAUCUGUUUUGAUAGUUGAUAAAAAGAUUCUUGUUUUUGAUAAUGCAUGUGUGAGUGAAUCUAUAGACCGUUGAUUAAUGCAUGGUAUGAUUAUGCAACUCUGUGAACCAUGUGAAUCUUUUCAAAUACCUACUUGUGACGAUUAUGUUUACCAUUUGAUUUAUUACUCGCAAUUUAUUCAUGGUUUGUGGGAAUAAUGUGAGACGACUGAAUGCCUUAAAACAUGUCCAUCUUUGUUUCAAAUAUUUGACGAGGCAGUGGUGAGUAAAUUAGAUUGUUUGCAUGGUAAUCUGAAUCUGUCCAUUCACAUGCGUUAUACCUGUUCUGUUAUGCUUAUGAUUGGACUACAAGCUUGUUUCCGUUGCUAUUUACUAUCUCAUGGCUAUUCUUUUCAGUGGACUCAAUUGCCAUUAGUCCCGUUCGAUAGAGGAAAGUCGAGUUCAUUUGAUUUUUCAGAUUCGAGGACGAAUCUUUUUGAGGAAGGGGGAAUGAUACGAGUCACAAAAGCCCAAAUUCUUAAAGGCGAGGCCCAAUAAGCAAAUUUCUAGCCCAAUCAAGAAAUCCAUCCAUACUUAGUUGAAAAUCAGGCCAAAUUGUCAAAGUGGCCCAAGUUGUAAAGUUUUAUUUUUAUUUUUAUUUAUUUAUUUAUUUAUUUACUUAGUUUAAAUUUUUAUGUCAAUAUUCAGUCCAAGAGUCCCAGAUAAAAUGACCUUUGACCGAAUUUUUAUAUUAAAAUAAUUAGGAGUUUUUUUUAUUUUAGUUUUCUAAUUAGAUUAGGACUAGUUAUAAGGCCUAUUUAAAGGCAUGGCUGUCCACCUUGUAAAACACUUAUCAUUAUUAUUAACAUUUCAGAUUUGUUGAGAGCAGAAUUUUCUUUGAGUUUUCUCCAAGAUUUCUCUCUUGAGUUUUCUUUAGAAGUUGUUUUAACAAUCUUGUGAUUGUGGGAGCCAUCUUCAACCUUCUUCUUGCCAUUGAUAUUCUUUGGAGGGGAGAUUAGAGCCGUUUGAAGGGAGUUGUGAGAUCUUUCGAGAUUUCAAGGCUUCUUAGGACUUAUCUUUUAAUUUCUUACUGUCAAUUCUUUCUUUAUUUCUACUUGUGCUGAAUCAUUAUCUAAUCUAUUUUCUGUUCUUAUUGUGUUUUCAGCCUUUUUCUAUCUUAAGGAAUCAGCCCAAAAAUCCCUAAUUUCUAGGGUUUUUCCAUACUCUUUUUGGGUGAAAUUAGAUUGUCGAAAUUUGGGGAAAACUAUCUUGGUAUUCAAUUGGGCAGAAUCACAAUCUCCUUGAGGGUUUCAAGAACCCUAACACUUAUUUCUAUUCUCAAUUUGAUUCUUUGCUGAUUUGGGGAUUUUAUUUCAGAUCUGAAAAUUCAAAAAUCUAAUCUUUUAAUUUUCUGUUUCGUUUCAGAUCUAAUUGUUUAGGGUUUUCGUAGGAGUUUCUCGUGACUUGACAACUCGAUCUUGGUCCGCGCGCAACCCCGUAUCAUUAUCUGUCUUCUUUUUACAGGUUUGUUGCAUAUGGAGCAACCAAACGUAGUGUUGUGCAUUUGACAAAAUCGCUGC
rnacentral:lncRNA from 1 species